rnacentral:lncRNA from 1 species
GGGGAUGGGUCGCGACCGCGACUCUUAACGUCCCGUAUUUGCCAAGCGCGCAUGCGCGCAUGCGUGUGUUUAUGUAUGUUGUUACAGGGUGGUUAACUUCGCCAGCGGCCCCCUUUCCCGGGGCAGUCCCUGCUCUCCCCUGCUAGAGGGGCACCCUAAUCCGUCACCCCAUCCGACUUCAGAAUGUAUUCGUUGGGUUCGGCAACUCACCACCAGCAUCCAACCAAAUCUAGCGGCGCAUCAACUUAGUUCCUGGUCAGCUCGCAAGUUGAUAUUAUCACGUCCUACACCGUCCAUAUGAUGGGGGGCCACCUCCCAUUUCAUCACUCCUCAAACACCCGAGGAACCGGCAGGCGGAUUUGAACCCGGGUCGACUGGGUCGACUGGGAGCAGAAGUCAGGCCUUAACCUCUGCCAGCCGCCUGCCC